CGGGGCGUAGCGCAGUUUGGUAGCGCGCCACAUUCGGGAUGUGGAGGCCGCAGGUUCGAAUCCUGUCGCCCCGACCA
rnacentral:tRNA from 1 species